CAACUAUUGUUAAAAUAUAUUUAAUUAUUUACACUUGCAACUCUACGCUAUUUUGAUUCUUUGGUUUAUUGAUACCCUCGGAGGCGGUAUUGUUAAAAUUUUUUGGUAACAGAAACCGGCUUGUAACGCAAGACAAUAUUCUCAUCCUCAUUUAAACUAAGAAAAUCAAAAAUGGAAUCUACAACUACGCCAGUAGUUGCAGCUAAUGCUGGUAAAAUUUACAAAGUUGCGACUAGAGUAGGACGAGGUAUACCAGAAAUAACUAAGGUUUAUACGAAGAAGUGUUCUUGUCGAAGAGAAAAAACUAUCGUCUUUUGUCGAGCAUGUGGCUACUACUGCCAUGGACGUAUUCGAUUGAAAUGUGAAACACACCCCCGGGUUACAUUUUUAUUGGAUAUUGCUGAAUGCCCUCGAUGCCAUUCUUCAGUAUUUCUGGAUGAAUAUUUUGGCGACCUGUAAUUUGUUAUGACUGAAAUGUCGACUCUCCGUCUCCUUUAUAUUCUCCUCAUUCAUAUUUAAACUAAGAUAUUGUUAAGUUUGUGUUAUCUAAAUAUGAUUUGAAUGACUAAAGUUUUUAAGGUGUUGAUUACCAUUUUUAUUUGAGCCUAUUUACUUGUAUACUGUUAAUAUUUAAAACAAUUAGGCUUUUAUGAUAAAAACCUGAUUUGUUUGUUAAAUUUAGUGCUAUAUGAGUAAAUAUCCUUUCUUUAUGUAUGUUAAUUAGUGGUUAUUAAUUAGUAUUAAGUUAUGCCGAUAGGGUUAACGGUAAAUAAAUGCAACAUGAUAAAUAUACAA